AAUAAUCCUCGUACAAUAAUCAAAAAGCUUAACAAUUGGCCAAAAUCUGUUAUAUGGAAUGGGAAAGGAGCCUAAUUAUAAAAAUUUCAAGCAUUAUAACGUUUAAUUCUGUGUAUUUGGAACAAAAACCUACAGGGUCCCUCUCUCUACGAUAAUAGUGUUACUGUUGACAGACCGUGAAAAAAUUGAUGCAAAUUUUUAAGGUUUAUUCAAUUAUUAUUGAAAUUAAAGGAUAUAUCAUAGGAUAUAUUUACUACAUUUCUCUCUGUACGAUGGCACUUCGAAGCUCACAUCACAAUUGAAUUUUUUCCCAUAAUCGGAAAGUUAGGUUAAUAUUGAAUUUCCAGAUAUGAAAAACAGUUCUCGGACGUGAAUCUGUAUCAAAAUCGGAUGUAUUAACAGAUUGUUUAUUUUGUCACUAAUAAUACUUAUUUUUCAGGCACAUAUAAAUUCAUUAUAUCAAGAAAUGUAUGAAAUUCAUAAAUGUCAAAUAUCAUCUAUCGGAAAGUCUCAAUUUAAAUAAAAAAAGCUUCUUCAGGGGUGAGCUUCUAAGCAAUUGGUUCAGAAGAGUUUCUAUUUGAAGUAUAUGAUCCAUGAGUCAAGGUUACAGAAUGUACUUCAGAUUAAAUUACAUGCAAACUCACAGAAUGAGAAACAUCCUUGAUCUUGGUGUAUGAACAUAAGAAUUUCUAGAUAACAAACGGUUCUUGGGGGCAUAUAUAAAUUUAUCAGAUCAAGAAAUGUAUAAUAUCAUCUCUCGGACGGUGUUAUUUGGUAAAAAAAAAUGUUCUUCAGAGUAAGUUUCUUGAGCAGUUCGUUCAGGAGAGUUUUUAUGUGAAGCAAAUGAUCUAUUUCGAUUGUUUUCAACUGACCACAGCAGAUUUCUGACAACUUUCAAGCAAUUGGGUAGUGUACGGAGAUGAUUUUCUUAGGCUUGAUUUAUGGAAAAAUAUGUUUUGAGAUAAGUUAUUCAGUUGGAAUGAUAUAAUGAUUAUUGAAACACAAUCUAUGAGUGAGUUUUUGCGUUAAAAUUCUAUAUUUAUAGACAUUUGUCAAGUUCUACCAUUUAGGGUAAGAUUUUUGCUAUUAUCGUAGAGAGAGGGACCGUGUAGGUUUUUGUUCAAAAUAAACAGAAUUAAACGUUAUAAUGCUU